CCUACGGGAGGCAGCAGUGAGGAAUAUUGGUCAAUGGGCGCGAGCCUGAACCAGCCAAGUAGCGUGAAGGAUGACUGCCCUACGGGUUGUAAACUUCUUUUAUAAAGGAAUAAAGUGAGGCACGUGUGCCUUUUUGUAUGUACUUUAUGAAUAAGGAUCGGCUAAUUCCGUGCCAGCAGCCGCGGUAAUACGGAGGAUCCGAGCGUUAUCCGGAUUUAUUGGGUUUAAAGGGAGCGUAGAUGGGUUGUUAAGUCAGUUGUGAAAGUUUGCGGCUCAACCGUAAAAUUGCAAUUGAUACUGGCUGCCUUGAGUACAGUUGAGGUAGGCGGAAUUCGUGGUGUAGCGGUGAAAUGCUUAGAUAUCACGAAGAACACCGAUUGCGAAGGCAGCUUACUAAACGGCCACUGACAUUGAUGCUCGAAAGUGUGGGGAUCAAACAGGAUUAGAUACCCCUGUAGUC
rnacentral:rRNA from 1 species